GAGCAGGUCUCUGCCCUGCCUUCUCCACGGGAGGCUUCUUUUAGGUUAAGGGUGAGAACUCCCAGACCCCAUGAUUCCUCUUCAUGCAUAAAGAGAUGUGUCUUUUAUUUCAGGGAAUUCUUUAUUGUCCUCAAUGGUGCCCGCUAGACACGUCCCCACCAAGCCCCAUCCGGCUGGGGCGGAGCGCGGACGCUGCGUCCGGCAGCAUUCCAAAGGCCGAGGUUCGCCACGCCGUGCUGGUUCCCUGUGGGUUAUUUAUAUGUUCUAUAUAUAAAUGCGAUGUACAUAGUAUGGGCCUCUGUGUGGCUGAGCAGUAUAUUUUGUAAAUAGAAGCACUAGUCCCCGUCCCGAGUGCGCACCUGAGGCUCCUCCCACGAGCACUUCAGACCCCUGGUCGUUGUUAAUAAAUGGAUACCUUUCCCACCGUAACACAAAGCUGGGUUUUAUUUUCUUCUGAAAGAUAAUUGCCUUUGUUUUUCUCUCCGCCUCCCUGGCUCCAGAGGAGAGUCGUGUUGUUGUAAUAUCGUGUGGAUUUUGUAUAUCAAGAGGAGUCGCUCAGACUCCUAAAGAAAGAGACGUCCCAGUGUUCUUCUUGAAGGGCAUCUGACUUUGCUGUUCACCUCUGUGUCUGUAUAUACGUCACACUGCGCUGACAUGAAGACUUUUGUUAUUUUGUGAAAAUAUUUAAGUCAGAAAACUGUUGAAUAAUAUUACCUUUUCCCCCAAAACUGCUUUGUGUAUUGUAUAUUUUUUUAAGAAGAGAAAAGCCUUAUUUGACCUCUUGUGAAGCUGGACUUGUGACCCCGUGGCCCCCAGAGGCCAGCCCGCUCACUGGCGUGGCAGCAUUUUCAGAAAAACUGUAACUGUGCAAGAGUUUUAAAGGCUCUGCUUUUAAUGCACUUUUUCUUUUAUAAUUUUGUAUUAAAAUAUUUUAGAUAUGUUGAUUAAUUUUAGUGAACAAAUAUCCCCAAAGUUGAAAUUAUUGGAAUUUAAAGUUUUUGUUCUUGCUGGUUUAUUUAUUUUGCUUUUAACAUUAAAUGUCAUCUCAGGACAUCUCCAAAAGGGGGUGUUUAGUUUCUAACUAUAUAGAGAGCAGAGUGUGUGACUGUGUGGUUCAUUGCUGUUUAAGUAAGGCCUUACCACAUGAAUCUGAAACCUACUUUUAUUUUGGUUAAAGAAAAAGAAAAAAAUUUAUCAGUAGUCCAUUCUGUGUCUUUUCUCAGUUUAUUAGCAGGCAAACACAAGACGUGUAUGUAUUAUUUGGGUUUACUUUCUAAUCAUAAAAGCUGCUCCUUUGCAAAACAUUCCUUGAAAAUACAAGGUUUUAAAAUGAUAUGAUUUCACUUGAAUGUUUGUGGUGUACAGGUUGAUCUUUGUAUUUUACUGGCUGAUUAAGAAGUUGUUUUAGGAAAGAGAUUUCUAGCCUCAUGCGUAACCAGGGUUUUGAGGAUAGAGAGCUGUAUUUUUAGAACUGUCUCACCAGGGCAUAUCUGCUUUGGAAUAGCUAUAAAUACAAAAUGACAUUAAGAAAUGUGAUUAAUGUUUUUUUCCUUUAGAAAUAUUUAAGAUACAAUUGUUUGGCACAUGAAUUAAUUUCAAGUUCAGAUAUGUUUACCAGAGAAGAACUUAGUGAUAUUUCUUUUACCUCUGAGGCCCAGACCAUGGGAGGUAACCCUCGCAGUGUCUACCUGAAGAGCUUCGGACCGAGAAUCAGGGUACGGCGUGGAGUAGGUCCCGCACAGCGCCACCAGGUCACCUGCACCACAGCCACGCAGGCUGCUUUUGAGAGUUUGUAACUGCCUUUAACCCGCUCAUGGUAAAGGAACUGCUAAGCACUUACACGGGCUGAAAG
rnacentral:lncRNA from 1 species